AGCGAACGCUAGCGGCGGGCUUAACACAUGCAAGUCGAGCGCUUCACUUCGGUGAAGAGCGGCGGACGGGUGAGUAACACGUAGGUUACCUGCCCCUGGGUGAGGGACAACCGAGGGAAACCUCGGCUAAUACCACAUAUGGUCUACGGAUCAAAGGCUUCGGCCGCCCGGGGAUGGGCCUGCGUCCCAUUAUUUAAUCCUAGUUGGCGGGGUAACGGCCCACCAAGGGUACGAUGGGUAGCUGGUCUGAGAGGAUGAUCAGCCACACUGGAACUGAGACACGGUCCAGACUCCUACGGGAGGCAGCAGUGGGGAAUAUUGCGCAAUGGCGAAAGCCUGACGCAGCCACGCCGCGUGAGUGAUGAAGGCCCCAGGGUCGUAAAGCUCUGUCGGGGGGGAAGAAGUUCUGACGGUA
rnacentral:rRNA from 1 species